rnacentral:rRNA from 1 species
CCUACGGGGGGCAGCAGUGGGGAAUAUUGCACAAUGGGGGAAACCCUGAGGCAGCAACGCGGCGUGAUCGAUGGAGGCCUUCGGGUCGUAAAGCUCUGUCCUAAGGGAAGAAUACUGACGGUACCGUAGGAGGAAGCCCCGGCUAACUACGUGCCAGCAGCCGCGGUAAUACGUAGGGGGCUAGCGUUAUCCGGAAGUACUGGGCGUAAAGGGUGCGUAGGCGGCCCUUCAAGUCAGAGGUGAAAGGCUACGGCUCAACCGUAGUAAGCCUUUGAAACUGUAGGGCUUGAGUGCAGGAGAGGAGAGUGGAAUUCCCAGUGUAGCGGUGAAAGGCGUAGAUAUGGGGGGGAACACCAGCUGGGAAGGCGGCUCUCUGGACUGUAACCGACGCUGAGGCACGAAAGCGUGGGGAGCGAACAGGAUUAGAUACCCCUGUAGUC